GGGGGGGGGGGGGGGGGGGGGGAACGGGUGCGGGGCGAGGGUCGGCGCGGGAGGGGCUUGCUCUGGCGGGUGGCGGGUGUCGGACGGGGUAGGCAUCCCGCGGGAUGUCCUGUGUCGUGGUGUAUGACGUCGUGACACUUAGGCUCAUACCGCAUACGACCUGCGGGUCGCAUCAGGGUGUCAUCGUACCCUGCGCGAUCUACUUAACCGGUUGCGGGUUCGCCAUUUGGCGGGGUAAAGGCCCACCAAGGCGACGAUCCGUAGCUGGUCUGAGAGGAUGAUCAGCCACACUGGAACUGAGACACGGUCCAGACUCCUACGGGAGGCAGCAGUGGGGAAUAUUGGACAAUGGGCGCAAGCCUGAUCCAGCCAUCCCGCGUGGGUGAAGAAGGCCUUCGGGUUGUAAAGCCCUUUUGUUGGGAAAGAAAAGCAGCAGGUUAAUACCCCGCUGUUCUGACGGUACCCAAAGAAUAAGCACCGGCUAACUUCGUG
rnacentral:rRNA from 1 species